rnacentral:rRNA from 1 species
ACCCGCACAAGCGGUGGAUGAUGUGGAUUAAUUCGAUGCAACGCGAAGAACCUUACCUACCCUUGACAUGUCCGGAACUUGCCAGAGAUGGCUUGGUGCCCGAAAGGGAAUCGGAACACAGGUGCUGCAUGGCUGUCGUCAGCUCGUGUCGUGAGAUGUUGGGUUAAGUCCCCGCAACGAGCGCAACCCUUAUCAUUAGUUGCUACGCAAGGGCACUCUAAUGAGACUGCCGGUGACAAACCGGAGGAAGGUGGGGAUGACGUCAAGUCCUCAUGGCCCUUAUGGGUAGGGCUUCACACGUCAUACAAUGGUCGGUACAGAGGGUUGCCAACCCGCGAGGGGGAGCUAAUCCCACAAAGCCGAUCGUAGUCCGGAUCGCAGUCUGCAACUCGACUGCGUGAAGUCGGAAUCGCUAGUAAUCGUGGAUCAGCAUGUCACGGUGAAUACGUUCCCGGGUCUU